rnacentral:rRNA from 1 species
GUUGGGACUGAGACACGGCCCAAACUCCUACGGGAGGCAGCAGUGGGGAAUAUUGCACAAUGGGGGAAACCCUGAUGCAGCGACGCCGCGUGAGCGAUGAAGUAUUUCGGUAUGUAAAGCUCUAUCAGCAGGGAAGAAAAUGACGGUACCUGACUAAGAAGCACCGGCUAAAUACGUGCCAGCAGCCGCGGUAAUACGUAUGGUGCAAGCGUUAUCCGGAUUUACUGGGUGUAAAGGGAGCGUAGACGGAGUGGCAAGUCUGAUGUGAAAACCCGGGGCUCAACCCCGGGACUGCAUUGGAAACUGUCAAUCUAGAGUACCGGAGAGGUAAGCGGAAUUCCUAGUGUAGCGGUGAAAUGCGUAGAUAUUAGGAGGAACACCAGUGGCGAAGGCGGCUUACUGGACGGUAACUGA